GGGAAAACCUUAAAAAGCCAUCCCAGUUAUAACCAGAUGUUCUUUAAUUAAAAGUUUGCGCAAAGACGUGAGGUGUAUUCAUUAUCAUUUUUAUUUUGCUGUUCUAAUAUUUAUUUUUCUGUACUACAAACUAGGCACAACGUGUAUUCAAAUACGUAACAUAUCAACUAUCAAGUAAUUAAAGCAACAAAGUCCUGCCUAUAGUAUGAUU